UCUACGGGGCGCUGCAGUGGGGAAUAUUGGACAAUGGGCGAAAGCCUGAUCCAGCCAUGCCGCGUGUGUGAAGAAGGCCUUCGGGUUGUAAAGCACUUUCAGUGGGGAAGAAAGCCUUGGGGCUAAUACCCUCGAGGAAGGACAUCACCCACAGAAGAAGCACCGGCUAACUCCGUGCCAGCAGCCGCGGUAAUACGGAGGGUGCGAGCGUUAAUCGGAAUUACUGGGCGUAAAGCGCGCGUAGGCGGUCUGAUAAGCCGGUUGUGAAAGCCCCGGGCUCAACCUGGGAACGGCAUCCGGAACUGUCAGGCUAGAGUGCAGGAGAGGAAGGUAGAAUUCCCGGUGUAGCGGUGAAAUGCGUAGAGAUCGGGAGGAAUACCAGUGGCGAAGGCGGCCUUCUGGACUGACACUGACGCUGAGGUGCGAAAGCGUGGGUAGCAAACAGGAUUAGAUACCCCUGUAGUC
rnacentral:rRNA from 1 species